GAGGCUCUAACUUAAUUAAAGUAUUUGAGUUGCAUUCAGAAAAUGUAGGUUAGUAUCCUACGGGCCUUA
rnacentral:tRNA from 1 species